rnacentral:rRNA from 1 species
UACGAAGGGGGCUAGCGUUGCUCGGAAUCACUGGGCGUAAAGGGUGCGUAGGCGGGUCUUUAAGUCAGGGGUGAAACCCUGGAGCUCAACUCCAGAACUGCCUUUGAUACUGAAGAUCUUGAGUUCGGGAGAGGUGAGUGGAACUGCGAGUGUAGAGGUGAAAUUCGUAGAUAUUCGCAAGAACACCAGUGGCGAAGGCGGCUCACUGGCCCGAUACUGACGCUGAGGCACGAAAGCGUGGGGAGCAAACAGG